CAUGAGAGGCUGUAAAACAGUUCUUUAUGUUUUAGAAAAUCUUGUUUUAUACUUUAAAAAAAUAAAUUGAUCUUUAAACUGAGCAAAAAUUUCUUGGAAUUUGGUCUUUUUAUUAAAUAUAAAAUCCAUUAAAAAUCUUAUUUUAAACCUAUACAGUAUAUAAGUGAUCCAUUCCAAAGGAAUUCAGAAUGUAAUGCACAGGUAUACAGGCCAAUAGGAUAGAUUAAACAUUUAUUCAACUAAAUGUGCACAGAUCAUUGGUCUGAAUGUCAUUUCCUAAACUUCUGACCAACAAAGUACAAACAAUUAAUGAUUAUUUUUCAUGUCAUUGAAGUGUUUACUUGAUG
rnacentral:lncRNA from 1 species